rnacentral:rRNA from 1 species
CGGACGGGUGAGUAACGCGUGGAGAACCUGCCGUAUACUGGGGGAUAACACUUAGAAAUAGGUGCUAAUACCGCAUAAGCGCACAGCUUCGCAUGAAGCAGCGUGAAAAACUCCGGUGGUAUACGAUGGAUCCGCGUCUGAUUAGCUGGUUGGCGGGGUAAAGGCCCACCAAGGCGACGAUCAGUAGCCGGCCUGAGAGGGUGGACGGCCACAUUGGGACUGAGACACGGCCCAAACUCCUACGGAAGGCAGCAG